rnacentral:rRNA from 1 species
UUGAACGCUGGCGGGAUGCUUUACAUGCAAGUCGAACGUGGCACGGACUUCGGUCUGGUGGCGAGUGGCGAACGGGUGAGUAAUGUAUCGGAACGUGCCUAGUAGCGGGGAUAACUACGCGAAAGGUAGCUAAUACCGCACAUUGCCCUUCGGGGAAAGCGGGGACCUUCGGGCCUCGCACUAUUGAGUAUCGACAUCGAUUAGCUAUUGGUAGCAACGCUCACCGGCGCGACGGUCCGCAGCCGGUUUGAGAGGUCACUGCCACCUGACUGCAGAUAUGCCUGACUCCUGUAUGGUGCGCGCGUGAACCUGAUAACGGGGAAACGACUCGCCCAGCCUGUGCGUGGUGCGAUGUGCCUUCGUUGUAAAGCCACUGGCAGAAGAACGCACGAUAACACCCGGCAACUGCUUGCACUUGCGUGAAUAAGCACUGACAACGCGCCAGUAAAGCCGCGUAAUACGAGCGGGCGAAUCGAAUUUACCAUGCAAGCGUGCGCAGGCGGUUCGGAAAGAAAGAUGUGAAAUCCCAGAGCUUAACUUUGGAACUGCAUUUUUAACUACCGAGCUAGAGUGUGUCAGAGGGAGGUGGAAUUCCGCGUGUAGCAGUGAAAUGCGUAGAUAUGCGGAGGAACACCGAUGGCGAAGGCAGCCUCCUGGGAUAACACUGACGCUCAUGCACGAAAGCGUGGGGAGCAAACAGGAUUAGAUACCUCUGGUAGUCCACGCCCUAAACGAUGUCAACUAGCCGUUGGGGCCUUCGGGCCUGGUAGCGCAGCUAACGCGUGAAGUUGACCGCCUGGGGAGUACGGUCGCAAGAUUAAACUCAAAGGAAUUGAUUUAGACCCGCACAAGCGGUGGAUGAUGAUUAAUUCGAUGCAACGCGAAAACCUCACAUCACCCCUUGACAUGUCUGGAAUCCCGAAGAGAUUUGGGAGUGCUCGCAAGAGAACCGGAACACAGGUGCUGCAUGGCUGUCGUCAGCUCGUGUCGUGAGAUGUUGGGUUAAGUCCCGCAACGAGCGCAACCUUGUCAUUAGUUGCUACGAAAGGGCUCUCUAAUGAGACUGCUGCCGGUGACAAACCGGAGGAAGGUGGGGAUGACGUCAAGUCCUCAUGGCCCUUAUGGGUAGGGCUUCACACGUCAUACAAUGGUCGGGACAGAGGGUCGCCAACCCGCGAGGGGGAGCCAAUCCCAGAAACCCGAUCGUAGUCCGGAUCGCAGUCUGCAACUCGACUGCGUGAAGUCGGAAUCGCUAGUAAUCGUGAUCAGCAUGUCGCGGUAACAUGUUCCUGGUCUUGUACACACUGCCCGUCACACCAUGGGAGUGGGUUUUACUCAGAAGUAGUUAGCCCAACCUCUCGUAAGGAGUGGCGAUUACCACGGUAGGAUUCAUGACUGGGGUGAAGUCGUAACAAGGUAA